AUUGAACGCUGGCGGCAUGCUUUACACAUGCAAGUCGAACGGUAACAGGCCGCAAGGUGCUGACGAGUGGCGAACGGGUGAGUAAUGCAUCGGAACGUGCCCAGUCGUGGGGGAUAACGCAGCGAAAGCUGCGCUAAUACCGCAUACGAUCUCUGGAUGAAAGCGGGGGACCGAAAGGCCUCGCGCGAUUGGAGCGGCCGAUGUCAGAUUAGGUAGUUGGUGGGGUAAAGGCCCACCAAGCACACGAUCUGUAGCUGGUCUGAGAGGACGACCAGCCACACUGGAACUGAGACACGACCCAGACUCCUACGGGAGGCAGCAGUGGGGAAUUUUGGACAAUGGGAGCAAGCCUGAUCCAGCAAUGCCGCGGGCAGGAAGAAGGCCUUCGGGUUGUAAACUGCUUUUGUACGGAACGAAAAGACUCUGGUUAAUACCUGGGGUCCAUGACGGUACCGUAAGAAUAAGCACCGGCUAACUACGUGCCAGCAGCCGCAGUAAAAC
rnacentral:rRNA from 1 species